rnacentral:rRNA from 1 species
GACGAACGCUGGCGGCGUGCUUAACACAUGCAAGUCGAGCGGUAAGGCCCUUUCGGGGGUACGACGAGCGGCGAACGGGUGAGUAACACGUGGGUGACCUGCCCUCAGCUCUGGGAUAAGCCUGGGAAACCGGGUCGUAUAACUGGAGUAUGACUCCACUGGACGCAUGUUGGUGGGGUGGAAAGCCUUGUGCGGCUGAGGAUGGGCCCGCGGCCUAUCAGCUUGUUGGUGGGGUGACGGCC